AGUCUUAUUGUUGUUCAUCAAUCAAAAGCAAAUAUAACCUUCAGCAUAUAUUUGGCUAUACUAAGGUUCUUUUUACUCAAUUUCUCAUUAUGUCUAUAAAAAAUAUGCUUUCACUCCUAGCGGUUCUAUGCAUCAUCGUUUCUGUAAAUGCUUAGAUGCCUCAGUUUCCGGCUCCAUUUCCUUUUUCAUUUCUAUUCGAACCGAUUCCUGGUAUGUCAGGAUUACCUGACAUAACAAAAUGUUGGUCAUCCGUGAUGGAUAUUCCUGGAUGCAUUGUAGAGGUUUCUCAAUCUAUUUUCACUGGAAAAUUCGGCAAUUUAGGUCCAUCUUGUUGUAAAGCAUUGUUGGACGCUGAAGUCAAUUCCAUGCCGAAAAUUCCAUUCAUUCUGUUUUUCCCUCCGAUGCUAAAGGAACAAUGCUCAAGAAUUGUGGGUGCAACUCCUCCUAUACCAAAAUAGAGUUUUAGCUUAGUUU
rnacentral:sRNA from 1 species